AGCCCUGGCACAGCCAUCACACACCCCCCACCAGCGCAGCCAUCACUCCCGGCUACAGGUCCCUGCUCAUCCACCACCACUGUGCCCCCUUUAAGCAGAUGAGGGCCUGAGGGGGGGACCAGUACCUGGCCCAGGAGCCCACAGCCCAGGAAGCAGCUCCGCAGCGGCUCCUGUGAAGCUGAGCAAACAGCAGGUCCGGGAGCGCUGGGUGGGUGGGAGGCAGCAGUUAGGACCAAGCUGGUGAAUCUGCUCCUUUUACUCGCUCUGGCUGCAGGAGGCCCCCAAGGAGGCCCCCCGGGAGGCCCGAAUCUUCAGUGCUCAGGAAGGCUUUGGGGGCUCUUGGGAAAGGGGGGGCAUGUGGAGAUGGGUUCAAAGCCUGUGCUGAAAAGCCACUGAGAAAGGACGAAAGGCACCUCGAGGCCCCGGAGCCCCUCCUGGGAGGCUGCGGGGUAGGGGGCCAGGGCCUCCAUUAUCAUCCUGGUGCCAGGGGCUCAGCCACAGGAAGGGGACGGCCACCUGCGACCCAGCUUCAGAGUGCCACCCACUCUGGGUGGGUGCUGUGGCUCUCUUGGGAGGCCCCAGGGGAGGCUGAGCUCAGGGCGCAGAGCAGUGGCCUCACUCACCCACGGCGCAAGGCUUGCAGGCCACCGGCAGCCUCUGCUCAGCGCCGGGCACUCCGAGGCGGAGGAGGCAGAGGGAACCACGGAGUUCUGGGGAGCAUCCGGGAGCAGGCAGGAGGGCAACUUGGGGAGGAGGGCGAGGAAAGGGUGGCAGAGGUCCCCGCGGGUGGCAGGGCCAGAGCUCCACACAUGGACUCUCAUUUGCCCUGCCCCGUGCUACUACUCGCCCAUUUCACAGGUGAGGACGUUGAGGCGGAGGCCUGUCCAAGGCCACACAGGGGCUGGUGGCAGAACGGGGUGCCAACCCACGUCUGCCCACUCUGGGGCGGUGCCCCCCACCCCGGCCCACCCUGGAAGGGCCAGCCGGGGCAGAAGGUGCUCCCAGGAAGUGCAGAGCCCCUGCGGACCUGGCUCCACUCUCCGCUUACCCCACCGGGGACCCCACCCGGGAUCCUGAUGAAACGCAUGUUUCUAUGGAAACAGCCCCAACCAUUCUUGAAUCUGCUCCUUAGGUUCCAGGGCCCUGGGGCUGUGCUGGGUCAGGAAGGCCUGCCCAGAGCCGCUGACUCUCACACUAGGGCUGCCCAAUCCACUCCAGGUCCAGGGCCAGGCUGCAGCCCCCUCCUCUGCCAGCCAAGGGUGGGCCUUGAGGAGAGGGGCUCUGGGGACAG
rnacentral:lncRNA from 1 species